rnacentral:tRNA from 1 species
GAUGGCAUUAGGUUAUUGUUUAGCUGGUGACCAUCCUAUGGUAAAGCAUUAUCAAGAUGAACAUGUAGUGCGAUUCUUUAAUACCAUCA